rnacentral:tRNA from 1 species
CACCGGCUGGGCGGUGUUCUUACGCCUGGCCGGCGGCAAUUCGGCGGCGCGGGAGCUGCCCGUGAGCAUGGCGUUCCUGUCGCUGGCCGCCGACCA